AGCUACCAUGCAAGUCGAACGGACCCUUCGGGGUUAGUGGCGGACGGGUGAGUAACACGUGGGAACGUGCCUUUAGGUUCGGAAUAGCUCCUGGAAACGGGUGGUAAUGCCGAAUGUGCCCUUCGGGGGAAAGAUUUAUCGCCUUUAGAGCGGCCCGCGUCUGAUUAGCUAGUUGGUGAGGUAAUGGCUCACCAAGGCGACGAUCAGUAGCUGGUCUGAGAGGAUGACCAGCCACAUUGGGACUGAGACACGGCCCAAACUCCUACGGGAGGCAGCAGUGGGGAAUCUUGCGCAAUGGGCGAAAGCCUGACGCAGCCAUGCCGCGUGAAUGAUGAAGGUCUUAGGAUUGUAAAAUUCUUUCACCGGGGACGAUAAUGACGGUACCCGGAGAAGAAGCCCCGGCUAACUUCGUGCCAGCAGCCGCGGUAAUACGAAGGGGGCUAGCGUUGCUCGGAAUUACUGGGCGUAAAGGGCGCGUAGGCGGACAUUUAAGUCAGGGGUGAAAUCCCAGAGCUCAACUCUGGAACUGCCUUUGAUACUGGGUGUCUUGAGUGUGAGAGAGGUAUGUGGAACUCCGAGUGUAGAGGUGAAAUUCGUAGAUAUUCGGAAGAACACCAGUGGCGAAGGCGACAUACUGGCUCAUUACUGACGCUGAGGCGCGAAAGCGUGGGGAGCAAACAGGAUUAGAUACCCUGGUAGUCCACGCCGUAAACGAUGAUUGCUAGUUGUCGGGCUGCAUGCAGUUCGGUGACGCAGCUAACGCAUUAAGCAAUCC
rnacentral:rRNA from 1 species